UAACACAUGCAAGUCGAGCGGAUGAAGGGAGCUUGCUCCUGGAUUCAGCGGCGGACGGGUGAGUAAUGCCUAGGAAUCUGCUGGUAGUGGGGGAUAACGUCCGGAAACGGGCGCUAAUACCGCAUACGUCCUGAGGGAGAAAGUGGGGGAUCUUCGGACCUCACGCUAUCAGAUGAGCCUAGGUCGGAUUAGCUAGUUGGUGGGGUAAAGGCCUACCAAGGCGACGAUCCGUAACUGGUCUGAGAGGAUGAUCAGUCACACUGGAACUGAGACACGGUCCAGACUCCUACGGGAGGCAGCAGUGGGGAAUAUUGGACAAUGGGCGAAAGCCUGAUCCAGCCAUGCCGCGUGUGUGAAGAAGGUCUUCGGAUUGUAAAGCACUUUAAGUUGGGAGGAAGGGCAGUAAGUUAAUACCUUGCUGUUUUGACGUUACCAACAGAAUAAGCACCGGCUAACUUCGUGCCAGCAGCCGCGGUAAUACGAAGGGUGCAAGCGUUAAUCGGAAUUACUGGGCGUAAAGCGCGCGUAGGUGGUUCAGCAAGUUGGAUGUGAAAUCCCCGGGCUCAACCUGGGAACUGCAUCCAAAACUACUGAGCUAGAGUACGGUAGAGGGUGGUGGAAUUUCCUGUGUAGCGGUGAAAUGCGUAGAUAUAGGAAGGAACACCAGUGGCGAAGGCGACCACCUGGACUGAUACUGACACUGA
rnacentral:rRNA from 1 species